AACGCACAUUGCGCCCCUUGGUAUUCCGAGGGGCAUGCCUGUUCGAGCGUCAUUAAAACAACUCAAGCUUGGCUUGGUCUUGGGGUCCGCGGUCUCGCGGCCCUUAAAGUCAGUGGCGGUGCCGUCUGGCUCUAAGCGUAGUAAUGCUCUCGCUAUAGGGUCUUGCGGUGGCUGCCAGAACCCACCACUUCUAAGUUUGACCUCGGAUCAGGUAGGGAUACCCGCUGAACUUAA
rnacentral:misc_RNA from 1 species